AGUGGCUUGUGAUGUCUCAGAGGAAGUUUGCUGAUGCUGCCAUAAAGUUUAUCUUGUCAUUGGGAACUGGAAAGAACCUGAUCCCAUCCUCCUUGCACCUUCCCUUCAGGUCAAAUUGCUCCUGUUCCACUCCUUCUCCCACUGCAUGGAAUAAAGCUUAUUUGCCAAGGACCUAUUGUGGAUUCUGCCCUUUGUGAGAGAUUUAAGCUUGUGCUCCAUUUGCAAUAAAAAGGGCUGUGUAGAAGCAGAAAAUGCCAUCUUUGAAGAAGGAUGAGCUAUUUCUGCAGUCAGUGAGGGACAUUAAAGGAUUUCUGUGUAGGAAUCUUCACAUAAAUUUCUUCUUCUUCACCCAGAGACAUGCUCAUUUCCAGUGAGUUAGCAUUUCAUUGUUGUGCAGUUGUUUAAUGUUGCUUUCCUUUGACAAAUGGUACCUUUUCAACUAAAUAAAACAAGCUA